AGACCCGAAACCCGGUGAUCUAGCCAUGGGCAGGUUGAAGGUUGGGUAACACUAACUGGAGGACCGAACCGACUAAUGUUGAAAAAUUAGCGGAUGACCUGUGGCUGGGGGUGAAAGGCCAAUCAAACCGGGAGAUAGCUGGUUCUCCCCGAAAGCUAUUUAGGUAGCGCCUCGUGAAUUCAUCUCCGGGGGUAGAGCACUGUUUCGGCUAGGGGGCCAUCCCGGCUUACCAACCCGAUGCAAACUGCGAAUACCGGAGAAUGUUAUCACGGGAGACACACGGCGGGUGCUAACGUCCGUCGUGAAGAGGGAAACAACCCAGACCGCCAGCUAAGGUCCCAAAGUCAUGGUUAAGUGGGAAACGAUGUGGGAAGGCCCAGACAGCCAGGAUGUUGGCUUAGAAGCAGCCAUCAUUUAAAGAAAGCGUAAUAGCUCACUGGUCGAGUCGGCCUGCGCGGAAGAUGUAACGGGGCUAAACCAUGCACCGAAGCUGCGGCAGCGAACGUAUCACCCAAGACAACUUUACGGAGUUGACGAUUGACGGAGCGAAGCGACGUCAAAGCGUUCAUUAAAGUCGAGUUGGCUUAGGGAUACGUUCGUUGGGUAGGGGAGCGUUCUGUAAGCCUGUGAAGGUGUGUCGUGAGGCAUGCUGGAGGUAUCAGAAGUGCGAAUGCUGACAUAAGUAACGAUAAAGCGGGUGAAAAGCCCGCUCGCCGGAAGACCAAGGGUUCCUGUCCAACGUUAAUCGGGGCAGGGUGAGUCGACCCCUAAGGCGAGGCCGAAAGGCGUAGUCGAUGGGAAACGGGUUAAUAUUCCCGUACUUGGUGUUACUGCGAAGGGGGGACGGAGAAGGCUAUGUUGGCCGGGCGACGGUUGUCCCGGUUUAAGGGUGUAGGUGUGUGUUCCAGGUAAAUCCGGUUCACUUUAACACUGAGGCGUGACGACGAGGCACUACGGUGCUGAAGCAACAAAUGCCCUGCUUCCAGGAAAAGCCUCUAAGCAUCAGGUAACACGAAAUCGUACCCCAAACCGACACAGGUGGUCAGGUAGAGAAUACCAAGGCGCUUGAGAGAACUCGGGUGAAGGAACUAGGCAAAAUGGUGCCGUAACUUCGGGAGAAGGCACGCUGACACGUAGGUGAAGUGAUUUACUCAUGGAGCUGAAGUCAGUCGAAGAUACCAGCUGGCUGCAACUGUUUAUUAAAAACACAGCACUGUGCAAACACGAGAGUGGACGUAUACGGUGUGACGCCUGCCCGGUGCCGGAAGGUUAAUUGAUGGGGUCAGCG
rnacentral:rRNA from 3 species